AUUGAACGCUGGCGGCAGGCUUAACACAUGCAAGUCGAGCGAGCGGCGGACGGGUGAGUAAUGUCUGGGAAACUGCCUUAUGGAGGGGGAUAACUACUGGAAACGGUAGCUAAUACCGCAUACCAUCAGAUGUGCCCAGAUGGGAUUAGCUAGUAGGUGGGGUAAUGGCUCACCUAGGCGACGAUCCCUAGCUGGUCUGAGAGGAUGACCAGACACAAUGGAACUGAGAAAAGGGCCAGACUCCUACGGGAGGCAGCAGUGGGGAAUAUUGCACAAUGGGCGCAAGCAUGAUGCAGCCAUGCCGAGUGUAUGAAGAAGGCCUGAGGGUUGUAAAGCACUGUCAGCGAGGAGGCGUUACUCGCAGAAGAAGAACCGGCUAACUCCGUGCCAGCAGCCGCGGUAAUAC
rnacentral:rRNA from 1 species